AUUGAACGCUGGCGGCAUGCCUUACACAUGCAAGUCGAACGGCAGCACGGGAGCAAUCCUGGUGGCGAGUGGCGAACGGGUGAAUAAUGUAUCGGAACGUACCUUUCAGUGGGGGAUAACGUAGCGAAAGUUACGCUAAUACCGCAUAUUCUGUGAGCAGGAAAGCAGGGGAUCGCAAGACCUUGCGCUGAUUGAGCGGCCGAUAUCAGAUUAGCUAGUUGGUGAGGUAAAGGCUCACCAAGGCGACGAUCUGUAGCGGGUCUGAGAGGAUGAUCCGCCACACUGGAACUGAGACACGGUCCAGACUCCUACGGGAGGCAGCAGUGGGGAAUUUUGGACAAUGGGCGCAAGCUUGAUCCAGCCAUGCCGCGUGAGUGAAGAAGGCCUCGGUUGGU
rnacentral:rRNA from 1 species